rnacentral:lncRNA from 1 species
UCCAAACAACAAACACCAACAGGAAACCGAAUGCCAAUGGCUGGACUUAUAUCAGACUCCAAACAGAACAAACAAACGCACACAGGAAACCGAAUGCCGAUCGCUGGACUUACAUCAGACUCCAAACAAAGGAACACAAACAGGAAACUGAAUGCCAAUGGCUAGACUGACAUCAGACUCCAAACAAAACAAACAAACGCAC